CUAUAUUUCUAGAAAACUUCCAAGCUCCUCUAAUCUCCACGCUAGUCAUUGCUGCCUCCAUUUUCACGCAAGCCUCAUCUCUCUUUUCUAGAUUAUCAGACGAUCCCUUCUCUCUUCUUUUUCUUUCAUCAUUCAAGUGAGUACAGAGAUACAUGAUAGAGGAAUCCAACUAUUUCGAGCUAUCAACAUUUCUUUUCAAUCACGGGUCUAUUUUCUUCUCUGAUUCAAUGGUUGUAUUUUGAAAUCAAAUCACUACACGUGACUUUUGACCCAUUUAGAGAUCUGCCCGCCUAAAUGAAUCUCUAGGGUUCAAUUCUGCCUAUAAAUACUCGCAUUCCAGACCUCUUUGAGGGUAUGAUUCUAGGUUGCCUCAAAUUCUAACACUACUGCUCUUUUUGCUUUUACUCCCAAAAAGAACUCUCACUUAUUUUAGUCUCCGUUAGUUUUGUGCGAUAAUAAAUAGGCGAUAUUCUGUUGUUUCGAAAUUUGGUAGUUGUUUUAGUUAAUCGGAGAUAGUAGACCUGCUCGACAGACGCCCCAUUCACUGCCCGCAAAAAGGUCAGUAACUGUUAAAACUCUCCCUUUAUGUCUCUUUUCUGAUUAGAAAUAGAUUUUAUCUCUAUUUGAAUUAUUUUCUAUAGUUGGUUUGUUGAUUAUGGCUCAAGUAUAAACAGCCUGUUAUGAGUUUAUGUUGUAUGGAACUAUAAGCUAUAGCUCAUUUGAUUGUGGAAUUAUGUCUUCGGCCAAAUAGAAUAGUUUAUAAAAUAAAAUAACCCAUAGGCUGUUAAGUAUAUAUGAAUAUAUUUGAGGUUAACUAUCUAUAUAUUUUGCUUGAAAGGUUCUGUUACUUAAUCUAUAUUUUAGAGAAAAAAGGAAUUUUUCUCUUAACAGAAUCGUGCUUGGAGUUCUUGUUAGCUAGCAUGUCUAUAUGAAUCACUGUCUUUAAAUAGAUAUUUACAGGAAUGAAUUUCAUGUCAAAUUCAAUAUCUACCUGAAAUUUCUAAAAUAGACAUUCCGCUGAAAUUAAAAUCGCUUCAAAGUGUAUGAUUAUAGAUUUAGUGUGUCAUUAACCCAUGUAAGUGAAAGGGAAGAAUUCUUCUGUUUUAAGGGCUGUAACUUUUGGGUUUUCUUUAAAAGGUCAUUGAACUUAGGUCUAUAAGAUUGAAAUUUUCUUUAUGUAAUUUUGUCAUUUAGAAACCACGCCGAUAGGAUUAUAAUUAAAAGAAUAAAUGUGUCGAAAGAGUUAAAGAAUAUAAUUGUGUUCGCUCUUUCGAUCUCGGACCGAUCCCCUGACUCUUCUUCAGCCGCGGAUGUGUUGAGAUCAAAGGAAGAUUUUUUCGAUAAGCUAGGACCAGCUAUGUAUUGAUAAAACCUAUGUAGCUUCAUGUUAAGCUGAGUUUCAUUUUGUUGCAAAGUGUAUGUUUGGUAUAUGGCUUUUAAGUUCCUUUCGAGAACUUGGAAAAGAACGUGCUUAUAAGGAGUCUGGCUCUUUUGCAUUGAAGUAUAUUAUUUAGUACUAAGAAUUUACUUUAACAUUAUGUUAAGAACUCUAAUCAUUGCGACACUUAAAUUAGCUAUUAUUUACUUUAACAUUAUGUUAAAAACUCUAUAUUCCAUGAAUCAUAUAUUAUGAUAAUUAUAGGACUCGCUAAUCAUCGCGACACUUAAAUUAGCUAUUGUUGUUACUCACUUUGGGCUUUAUAAAGGAAUUACUUUGCUGGAAUUUGG
rnacentral:lncRNA from 1 species